rnacentral:rRNA from 1 species
UACAGAGGUCUCAACCGUUGUUCGGAUUCAUUGGGCGUAAAGGGUGCGUAGGCGGCGGGGUAAGUCAGGUGUGAAAUCUCGGGGCUCAACCCCGAAACUGCACUUGAUACUGCCUCACUUGAGUACUGGAGAGGAGACUGGAAUUUACGGUGUAGCAGUGAAAUGCGUAGAUAUCGUAAGGAAGACCAGUGGUGAAGGCGAGUCUCUGGACAGUUACUGACGCUGAGGCACGAAGGCCAGGGGAGCAAACGGG